GACGAACGCUGGCGGCGUGCUUAACACAUGCAAGUCGAACGGAAAGGCCCUGCUUUUGUGGGGUGCUCGAGUGGCGAACGGGUGAGUAACACGUGAGUAACCUGCCCUUGACUUUGGGAUAACUUCAGGAAACUGGGGCUAAUACCGGAUAGGAGCUCCUGCUGCAUGGUGGGGGUUGGAAAGUUUCGGCGGUUGGGGAUGGACUCGCGGCUUAUCAGAUUGUUGGUGGGGUAGUGGCUUACCAAGGCUUUGACGGGUAGCCUGCCUGGGAGGGUGACCGGCCACAUUGGGACUGAGAUACGGCCCAGACUCCUACGGGAGGCAGCAGUGGGGAAUAUUGCACAAUGGGCGGAAGCCUGAUGCAGCAACGCCGCGUGCGGGAUGACGGCAUUCGGGUUGUAAACCGCUUUCGCCUGUGACGAAGCGUGAGUGACGGUAAUGGGUAAAGAAGCACCGGCUAACUACGUG
rnacentral:rRNA from 1 species